UUUGCAGCUGCGUUGGACAUUAAAAUUAAUUGGAAGUUAGUAAUUGGAAGGCCAAAACUUGAUUUGUGCUGUAGACCAAUGUUCAACUUACAUUUCAACCAAGACCCAGAGGUGAAGCCUGUGUCCAGUGUAAGAAGGAUUUCUACAGAACACUUAGCAGCAAUUCCCCACAUGGCUCAGGAAACUCGAAGAUUCAGUAGGCAUCCUCCGAUCCCAUGACCACCCAGGAACUUGAAAGCGGAUGUUACCAACCUCUGGAGGACAAAGGCCAGCCCUGCAGAUGUCCGCUCUGAGCUUACUGGGUGCCUGGCCAGCAGGGUUCGCUAUAGAGACGAUGAGGA